CUGGUGAGCUUUCAAAUUUAUUUUUCAAAAUAAAAUUGAAUGUAAUUUGGCAUAAUGUCGCAACAUUUCUCAUGUAAUGUUCUCACUGCUGAGUGAACUCAUCGUCCUCUUUGUGUUUGACUGUCACAUUUAGAAACAAAGUGUAACAAACUGAAUUUAUUUGCUUUCAUUUUUUAUUUGAAGUUUAAAUAUGCAAAUAUAUCCUUCUCAACUGCGGUAAUGAACACUACCAUAGAAAGCACUGUAGUCAGGGUACAUGUUGAACCAAGCACUUCAAAUACCUAAAAACAAGUCAGUCUGCUCUCACAACAGGCAGGUGAAGUGUGACACCCCACUCCAACUCCACCCAAGAAAGAGCCAAAACUAUGCAAAUUGCAAACCCCAUGCAGCCUUUUAUUGACUAUUGACUAUUUGGCAGUGAGCUAUGGCAAAAUACCAAACAAAAGAUCUCUAAAGCUCUGUAAUCUUCCCUGCACAAAAUAAAAGUCGAACAAACACUUUGCUUACAUAAAUGUCUACUGUGACAAACAAGAGAAACCAGGUUUCAGGAGAAAACGUUUCUCACUCCUACAAGGCUGCUACAGUGUUAAAUACAGUGAAACAAUAUGAGUUGUCUAAUUCACAAAGCUACUUCCAACUAUUUACAAAGGUCUGGUCUAGCACUCACAACACCACACACAACUUGACUUCUACUCAGGAACUUUUCGACCUUUUUCACACAGAAACACUCAAAGCUACCAGGAGAAACUCAGGCUGUUUGUUGGGUGGUGGAGGCCAGGAGAGAGGGGCAAGGUGGUUAAAAGCCUGUUGUCCAAGUAAUUAUCCAGUUCAACCACUCAGCAGGAACCUGUCUCCAUGAAGACAUGCUUCACCCUCCUAGGUGUGUGCAUACACCUGGGAGGGAGAAGAGAGAAAGACCCAAAUCACAUCCUGUGGUGGGACGAGUCAUACAUAUAAAACCACACACAUACCAGGGCUCGCAAAAUCGUUAGCCCGACGUCCCAGAGCUAGCGAUUUUGCGAGCCCUGCAUACUUAAUUCAAUAGUGGACACAAAUAUUUUGCUUUGGCAGAAACUUAAACAACUGAGUUAAAUCAACACAACUUAUUCAACUUAUUCACAAUUUAAACAUUUUUAGAUGAAGUUGAGCUCUUGGAAUAUUUUAAUCCUUCACAAUUUUGUCAUUUUAUUUCAACACUAUUCAAUAACUUUUGCCACAGUACUACUUGAUCACUUAAAUACUACAUGUUAUCUUAAUUUUACAUAAUGUUCAACAAAGUCUAGGGGUCUGGUUACCAUAAAAAUGGAAUGGAUCUACAACAACGACCACCCUCCCAUCUUUAGCCUGGUUGCAAGGGGGCUGGGGAAUAACCCUGACGUGGUUACGAGUAGGGAUGCACCGAUACCACUUUUUUGGAAAACAAGUACGAGUAUGAGUACGAGUACUUGCAUUUCAGUACUCGCCGAUACCGAGUACUUACUCAUUGACAAAUGCCAGCCAUUUGACUUUCUGGUAGUAAUAAGGGAAAUGUAUUUCAUAUUAUAUAUAUUGCAUACAUUUGUAUUUGUGUAUUUUAGUUACAAAUAUAUAAUAUUUCAGAUGGAAAAUAAUCUUACAUUUAGUACUGUAGUUUAUCAUUGAAUACCUAUAACACACAGACUUUAUCUUGGGUCAAGUAUGGUGGAGAUGAAGUACAGUGGGUUGGUCUCGACGUCACUGAAGCGCUUCUUGACAGCUGCCAGUAAGGUUGCUUUCAUUGUCUUGACGCCGUGGUCCUCGUCUGUUUCUCUGUUUAGAAGUCUCACUAGCACAGUCACAGCUGGGAUGACAUCAGAGGCUAGUGCGUCGUAGCUGCUCACUUUUUUAGUUAGUUCCUCAAAGGGGGCGAGGAUGGCAACAGUCGUCUCCAUAAGAGCCCAUUGGUGAGCGGUGAGAUAGUCAGGGAGUUCAUGCUCGGACACAUACACCCCCAGCACUCGCUUUUGCUCAGUGAGAGACUGGAGGAUGUAAUACGUGCUGUUCCAGCACGUCUGUACGUCCUGCUGCAGUCUCUUUAUUGGCUGGUUGAGCUGCCCCUAAAUGUCCUCGAGGCGGGAGUAGGCUAAGGCAGAAUGUUUAAAAUGCCCAACUAUUUUCUGUCCCACUGCUAUAGCAUCAGCUAUGCUCCUCUGUGCUAAUAAGCGUGGGUAAACUCUUUGUACUCGUUGUCGUGUUGGGAUUUUAAGUGCUUGAACUUGUGUUAAAUGCGCUACCUCUUGAGCCUCCUCUGGGCAAUUUCGCUGAGCACAAUUUGGAGUCCGCCUUUGUUUUCGCGUCUUCAUUCACUUUGAAAUAGUUCCACACGGCUGACAUGUCUCGCCUUGCCUUAUCCCCGCUCCGAGCAACCGGGGCCUGGGGGCCGGCACUCGGUGCCUGUGAUUAACCCCUUACAUAGACAGGUCUCAGACCGGGGUAUCAGUCCCCGGUAUCGGGGGACUUUUAACGAGUACGAGUACUUUAGAAAAUGUGGUAUCGAGGCCGAUACCAGAUACCGGUAUCGGUGCAUCCCUAGUUACGAGGCAGGGUACACCCUGGACAGCUCAUCAGUCCAUCACAUAGAGACAAACAACCCUUUGCACUUACAUUCACGGGCAAUUUAGAAUCACCAAUUAACCUAACUCUAAUAACUGCAUGACUUUUAACUAUGGGAGGACACCAGAAUACCCAGAGAGAAAUCACUGCAAACUAGCCAGAUUGUGGAUUUGAACCUAAGACCUUCUUACUGUGAGGCAACAGCACUAACCACCUUUCAAGGCUUGAUGCAGAGUUUUCUGUACAUGUUUGUCCUUGGCAGGUUAAACCACAAUGAACAGCGAUGGCAUACACGUGGUGUGUGUGUAGUUGUCUGCCUCUUAUAACUCCAGUGAUUUUCCUGCAGUUUGAAAUCUCGUGCGAUCUUGUGAAUUUCUUGAGUCCAGCAACUAACCACUCUUACUAGAUUGCAUCAUGUCAUCUCAACAAGAACAAAUUAAGUUGUUGAAUUUCAUACAGAUCCUUCAUGAUUUAAUUAUGUUCAAGAUAGAAACAUUACAUUUUUUAUUUCAAAUUGCAAGGUAGACUUUUUUAAUAUAACAACCACCCAAUUUGCUUUUUUCGGUAUACCAAAAAAAGGAGAGGCGGCUGUUCGACCUCACUGAGAUUCCUUCCUCAAUGCACGAUCCAAAGCAUGCAAGACUGAAAAUCACGUGCGGUGUCACGAGAUUUAACAUUGCUAUAUUAUUGACUUACUUCACUCAAACAUAAUAUGAACAAUUUAAUCUACCCUCUCUGGAUAUCAUGUAGUUUCUACACUAUAUAGUUACUCUUAACUUUAAAGCAUGAGGCACUUGUAUUAAAUACUUGCCAGAUGCUUACAUAAAUCCAAGAGGUGGCCAAUCCUUUUUUUCAGUGUAUGACCCAAAUGACCCUGGGUCAUAACAUUUGUUUGAAGAACUUAUCGGUGGGAAAGUUUGUUUCAGCAUUCCACUGAUUUCUAGUUGGAAGUUAAAAAAAAAUGUAAUUGCAUUCUUUUGCCACAAGGGGAAAGUGACUCUGAGUGUGUUAGGGUGCUGCAAGGCUCCUCUACGUCAGAAGAGGAAAAGCCUGCAGAUUGGAUGCAGCUCAUGUCUCCUGUCUCUACUGUUUCUCUAUAAAACAUGUUAGUAGUGUAAGUUACUGAAGCACAAUGAAUAAAUGACAUGAAAGAUGUUCUGUGUUAGUCUGAUGAUCCUGAAUUAUUAAAAGAUGUUUUCACAGAGGGACAAAUGUGAACUUUGCCACAGUUUAAAUGGGAGUUGCUGUUUCACAUGUAUGUAGUGUAAAAAGAUGGCCCGCCUUACUGUAUAUGCUUUGUUUUUCAUGCAAAUAUAACUCCAGGCCACAUCUCUUGUAUUCCAAAGUUUAGUGAAGGUUUUCCGAUCGACUAACAGGAUUUCUACACAAUCUAGUUCUCACUCAUUUUGUUUCUACACUGUAAACACAGCCUGGUAUAUAUUUCUUUUGAGAGAUGGUGGAACAUGUUUGAUGGUUACUGUCAGAUGUGAUGUAUUAUUGCAUGUGUUAAGAGAUAAAGAGAUCACAGUGUUAGUGCUAAUAAUAGUAAUAAUAAUAAUAAUAAUUAUGGAUUGCAUUUCUAUAGCGCUUUUUGAGACCCUCAAAGCGCUUUACAAUUCCACUAUUCAUUCACUCUCACAUUCACACACUGGUGAAAGCAAGCUACAGUUGUAGCCACAGCUGCCCUGGGGCAGACUGACAGAAGCCAGGCUGCCAUAUCACGCCAUCGGCCCCUCUGGCCAUCACCAGUACGCGGUAGGUGAAGCGUCUUGCCCAAGGACACAACGACCGAGACUGUCCGAGACAGGGCUCGAACCGGCAACCUUCCGAUUACAAGAUUAACUGCCAACUCUUGAGCCACGAUUGCCACAUUACCAUUCAGUGAUAUGAUAUUUAUUUACAAUAUUUAUUGUUCUCACGUGGAAUCGGACAGGAUUAUUUUAACAGACAAAAGACUUUUUGCCUUAUAGUUAUUUUGAUCCUCCUGUAACUUUAUUGUAUAUAGAACUAAAACCUCUAUAUAGUGGUUAGAGGAUAGUUGUUAUAAGCAGUGUUUGUGAACUAAAAAUCAAGAAUGUGGGAUACUGUUUUUCUGUGAUUUGAACAGCCCAGCAUGUGCUCCCGACGCAGGGAAACAAAUUCUGUCAGGGAUACCUACCUACCUACGAAAGCUGCUGUUCUAGUCUUUGGCUUGGAACCAUAUUUGGCGAGCCCCAUGCCUCAUUAAAAACCUCUCCAUUAUGCUUGCAGUGUCCAAGUAUUCUUUAUUUUUUAGUCAUACUGCACGUAAAAGCAAAAACACAAAAUAUUCAUCUCAAAUACGACCUGGUGUGACAUCAGCUCUUCAGACCGGUCACUUCACCUGUGUUAUUUACCACACUGAUGAGAAGCAAACAAGUAGACUUGCUCGUUAGGGCCUGAGAGCAAUUCGGGGUGUGGUGUGGAUUUUUAUGACAUAUAUGUGUGUACACUAGACAUAUACUCACAUAUACACAAUGUAAUCAUAUAUACUUGUAUUCUCUCUCUCUAACCCAUAAGAGUAAACAAAAUUUGGCCACCUGGAAAUAUAGCUGGGACACUUUUGCCCAUCUCUGGUUGCCAAAAUUGUGAAAAACUGUCAUGAUGGGCUGUGUGGCAGCCAGGCAGGAAGGUGGACCCAAAGCAGGACUCAAACAGGGAGCUUAAACUCAAAGCGCAGUUUUAUUACUGGAAAAAAGUCCUCAAGAUAAAACUCACAAAAACCCAGAACAAAAACUCUGAACAGAGGAGCUGGACCAUUUGACUAAGACAAACACACAGCAUGUAGAGGAUACAUCGCAAGAGAGACUGAAGGAAAACACAGGGCUUAUAUACACAGGGGAGUAAAAACAGAAGGGAGACACAGCUAGGGGAAGAUUAGCGCUAACAAGACAGUGGGAGGUAAAACUGAAUACACUUACAUAGGCCUGGAACUAUCAAAACAAAACAGGAAAGAAGAAACAAUUUACAAAGAUGUGGAAUUGACAGAGAGAGACAGACUUGACAGAAAAUAUAACCCGUAAUACAAAAUCAAACCAGCACAACUCAAGAAGCAGAACAUAAAUCAUAAUCUAGACACCAAAAAAAAACCAAAAUAUAAGAAACAGAAAAAGCUGGGUCAAAAUGAGCCAGACCCGUGAUAAAAACCCUUCUUUGACAGGUAUACCAGCCCAUUCCUGGCAGCAAAGAUGACAAAGCUGUCAGGAAGAUUUAUUGUUUUCUAUUUGCUGUAUGUUUGGUAUCUGUAGUUUUCCGCAGUUUGGGUCAUAAAACUUUCAAAAAGUACCCAGUGAAAAUGACUGAUGUUGGCAACAGCUCUCGGAGAGUUAUGGAGUAGUGUCAGAAAGUUAUGUAACACAAGUGUAGAUUUAAGAAGAACAAAGAACAAAGUGCCAAGUGGCGAGUGAUUGGGGAAAGUAGUGAAAAACAUAUAUC
ensembl:lncRNA